rnacentral:lncRNA from 1 species
AUAACCAAGCAGGAGAUAGAUGAUUUCGUUCUGGUCUCUGGAUUUUGGCUGCAUUUUCUCUCAUAGUAGGAAUUAUUCCCGGAAGAUCCAAAUGCUCAGCUUUGUCCUCCUCUCAUCCUGGUGAGGCGUGUGAUCCAGCUGACCAUACUCCCUGGAGCCUUCUCCCGAGGUGCGCGGGUGACCUUGGCACAUACAGCCAUCAUGAUGGUACUUUAAGUGGAGGCUGAAUCAUCUCCCCUUUGAGCUGCUUGGCACGUGGCUCCCUUGGUGUUCCCCUUUUACUGCCAGGACACUGAGAUUUGGAGAGGCAACUACACAGCCAGUGGUGGGAAAGCACCUAAUUUACAUCUUCAUGCAUUGAAACUGAUGUCACUCACCUCUCCCCCUUGACCUGGAAGAGCCCCUGAAGGCUGCCAUAGGGGAAAUGAUAACCCAUUCUACAGCUGCUGAAACUGAGGCCCAGGGAGUGUCCAGAGCUUUCUGAGGUCCACCAUGUACUGUUGACCAGGAUGAGUGAUAGCCACCUGGUGACAAUGUUGAAGGUUCUCAUUCAGUAGAGCUGGGUUCAAUUCUGACUUGCCUGACCAGCUGGUGCCUCAUUUUGCUCUAAGUAUUGGAGCCUCCAGCUUUAUUUUCUUUCAGUGGGAAAGACUGUGAGAUUCAGUCCCUCCUUGAAGCUGCGCAUCGACUCUCCUGUCCUGGGUACUCUUUAGGUAGUGGCUGUUCUGAAGUGGCUUUGGAAACCCUGGAAUGAAACUGUCAUGUCCAAUGCUGAGAUUUGUAUAAACUGUCAUUUUAACUGUGAUUAUUAUUCCUUAGGAUUUGAGAAAUAAAAUCUGAGGAGGGAGCAGGACCUGCCUCAGGGCCUCCUCUCCAAGUUGAGUGACCCA